CUUUGCAUUAGCUAUGGAGUUGACAUAUACUUUUACACCAGGUUCAUUUUUGGCCUAUGUGGAAGAAUUCAUCAUGGCUGUCAUUCUUGAGUGGCUACCAUCUACGUCAAACUGUCAUCUUGAGGAUUAAAUGAGGCAAUUCGGUAAGCCUGAAUUUCCUCACAUGAAGUAGAAGACACAGACCACAUAGAAGAAACAUCAAGAGCCAUUAACCAGUGACACGGACAGCAGAAUUUCAGAAUGGAAGCUGGAGUACAGUGUCUAAUGUUUGAACCGAUAUUUCCUACAGUAUCCAAUGUGAGAAAAUAUUGAACAUGAAGAUUCUGCUUGCAAUCAUAAGGAAAGUACUAGUGACUUCAAUUAUUUGGUAAAAAGGGCCAGGCAAAGAGUUACCAAAUAAAUACCAACCAACA